UACAGAGGUCCCGAGCGUUGUUCGGAUUCACUGGGCGUAAAGGGGGCGCAGGUGGGCUGGCAAGUUCGAUGUGAAAGCCCCGGGCUUAACCCGGGAAUGGCAUUGGAAACUGCUGAUCUGGAGGAUCGGAGGGGGGACUGGAAUUCUUGGUGUAGCAGUGAAAUGCGUAGAUAUCAAGAGGAACACCAGUGGCGAAGGCGAGUCCCUGGACGAUACCUGACACUGAGGCACGAAAGCCAAGGGAGCAAACAGG
rnacentral:rRNA from 1 species